rnacentral:rRNA from 1 species
UACGAAGGGGGCUAGCGUUGUUCGGAAUUACUGGGCGUAAAGCGCGUGUAGGCGGGUCUUUAAGUCAGGGGUGAAAUGCCAAGGCUCAACCUUGGAACUGCCUUUGAUACUGGAGACCUUGAGUCCGGGAGAGGUGAGUGGAAUUGCGAGUGUAGAGGUGAAAUUCGUAGAUAUUCGGAAGAACACCAGUGGCGAAGGCGGCUCACUGGACUGGUAUUGACGCUGAGGUGCGAAAGCGUGGGGAGCAAACAGG